AGAUAGAACUGGGAAGGCAGCAGAGCAAACAUUGAUGCAGCAGAAAUACCAAAUAUUUCCUCAAUAGAUUUACUGCUUUAGCUGUUUUCUUACACAAAAUACCUGACGAUCUUGGACACUCUCAGGUGUUUUAAACUGGUUUUCCCUGGGUAUCUUUUCUCUCCUUGGAGUUCUGUCUGCACUUGGUGGCUUCCAGAAGAGGACACUGGGCCCUAACGAUUGAUCUUAGGCACCACAUGAGACACAUGCUGACCACAAUGAAAUCCAAGGACCAAGGAAGAUGAUUUAAAGCCACUCACUGAGAAAAGAGCUGCUUCCAGCCAGCCCAAGGAAAGGAUUAAUACAGGAGGGAAGGCUGGACUCUGACCUCUUUCGAGGCUAGGUGCCUGAGGGAAGCAUAGGAGGUGAUUCACAGCAGAGCAAGAUUCAUUGAACCAGAAGGGAGGU